rnacentral:lncRNA from 1 species
CAAAGGUCUGAAGCUUGACACAUUGCCACAAGAAAUUGGUUCCGGUGACAAGAAAGCGGAGGAAUGUUUGUCUGAUGAAGAUGAAAAUGAAGGAACUGCAACUGACAUGAGUGAGCAUGACACAGUGGGCAGACAAACUCAAAUGUCUAUUGGAUCCAUUGAAGACGAAAAUAAAG